rnacentral:lncRNA from 10 species
AGUGCAGUGGCGUGAUCUCAGCUCAAUGCAAGGUCCGCCUCCUGGGUUCACCCCAUUCUCCUGCUUCAGUCUCCUGAGUAGCUGGGACUACAGAUGCCCGCCACCACGCCUGGCUAAUUUUGUUUUUGUACUUUUAGUAGAGAUGGGGUUUCACCGUGUUAGCCAAGAUGGUCUUAAUCUUCUGACCUUGUGAUCCGCCCACCUCGGCCUCCCAAAGUGUUGGGAUUACAGGCAGGAGCCACCGCACCUGGCCUCAACUUCUUUUUUAACUUAUGAAUUGUUUAUUUCCGGAAUUUUCCAUUUAAUAUUUUUGAACCACAGCUGACUGAGGAUAAGACUGAGGCUUAGAGAGAUCCAGUCAUUUCAUAGCUGAUACAUGGAAGAAUCAAGAUGCAAACCCAGGCAUCGCCUAUGCAGGCAAUCAAAGGAUGUUGAUGGAUAAGUGUUUCAGGCAGAAUAAUGGCCCUCAAAGAUGUUGACACCAGAAUCUUCAGAACCUUUGCAUAUGUUACCUAACAUGACAAAAGGGACUUUGCUGAUGUGAUUAAGGUUAAGAACUUUGAGAAGGGAAGAUUAUCCUGGAUUAUACAGGUCGACGUUUAUUUCUUUCUGAACUUUCCUGGAGGAUCAUCGGCCAUACUCCAGCAGAAGGGUGGAUUUGAAAAAAUAACGUUUCCACGGCAACAGUGGCAGCAAUUCAAAGGAAGACGUUGGAGAAUUCACAUGCUAUUUUAGCUGGCUCUGUGAUUGCAAUCACACAAAUCAUUACAUUCCAGCGAGAUCCCAUCAACAGAAGGUUUUUCCAUUUCAGUCUGUCAAGCAAAGCCCAGAGUCUUCCCUGGAGAAGAGUGCUGAUGACGAGGAUUCAUGUCUCACAACCCAGCACACAGGAAUGAUGUCACACAGAAUUUGACUUGGGGAAGAAGAAGAAAAGAAGGUGGAUUUCAGCAUGAAAGAAUCUAAACAGUCAUUAGUGAACAAAUGUGUAGCAGUGCUGUCCAACAGAACUUUCUGAAGAAGUAAUGGGAAUACUCUGUAUCUGUGAUGUCCUGUAUGGUAGCCACUGGCCUCACACAGCUCUUGAGCACUUGAAAUGUGGCUACUGUGACUGAGUAAUUGAGUUUUAAAAUUUCAUCAAUUUUAAUUAAUUGAAAUUUAAAUAGCCACAUGAGGCCAGUGACUACAGAAUUGAACAGCACAGGUCUCACAGAUGGACUAAGAGUAAGCCAGUUACGAAGAAGCUUAUACAGGAAGACCGGCUAAAAUAUGUCAAAGGAGAGUUUCUCUUUCUGAACUCCGAGGAGCUGUUCAAAUAAGACUGGUCUGGAGAGAGUUUUGGGUGGCUGGAGGUAUUUUCACCCCUCCACUUACUGUGCCUAACCUUAGUAUUGUUGCCAUUCUCACGUUUCUGUAUGACUCCAUCUCCCUUGUUCUGUUCCGAUGCCGCUUUUUCAGUUUUUCUGAGCUCUCAAUUAAACACAGUGAAAUGAAUCUCCUCCAAGUGCCUUUUUAGUGACUAAACUGAAUAGUUGGCUCAGAAUGCUACAAAGUCCUCUCCCUCAGGAAGAACCAAGUUUUACCAUUAAGAUCCUGAUAGAUUUACCAGCUUUAACUGACACCUCUUGGGGUGGCUUCCAGAUUCACACUUUCUCCUUUUUGAGAAGACUCCCAGACACACGGGGAUAGGUCCUGAGUGAUCAUAUUUGAGCCACACAAUCUUGUUACGCUUGCUGUAGAUCCAUGGUUCAAAAACAUUCAAGUGUGUCUGACUCAGCUGGAGGACUUGUGAAGACACAUGUGGUGGGACCCAUCCCUAAAGCUUCUUUUCCAGUAGGUGUGUAGGUGUGGCCCAAGUAUCUGCAUAUCUAACAAGUUCUCAGGUGAUACUGAUGUUGCUGGUCUGGGGAUUGUACUUUAAGAUAAUUAAGUCAGGGACUGUUGCCUGACAUAGGACAAUAAGCUUCUCUCAGGAAUUUGAAAUUUGGAACAAAGAGCUCGGAGUCUUAGUGCUAGUAGACCAGUGCUCUGGAGAGGUCUGAAAACUACCACUGCUUAGGUUCCUAGUUUGUCCAGUUCCUGUUUGUCUUGAGCCUUGGUUGUCUAAUCCUUUGAAUAAAUCCCAUUACAUUCUUUGUUUUGCAUAAACUGGCCAUAGAAAGUUCUUGUUGUCUGCCC